rnacentral:rRNA from 1 species
UACGGGGGAGCAAGCGUUGUUCGGAUUUACUGGGCGUAAAGGGCGCGUAGGCGGCCACCGCAAGUCGACUGUGAAAUCUCCGGGCUUAACUCGGAAAGGUCAGCCGAUACUGCGGGGCUAGAGUGCAGAAGGGGCAACUGGAAUUCUCGGUGUAGCGGUGAAAUGCGUAGAUAUCGAGAGGAACACCUGCGGCGAAGGCGGGUUGCUGGGCUGACACUGACGCUGAUUGUGCGAAAGCUAGGGGAGCGAACGGG